GACGAACGCUGGCGGCGUGCUUAACACAUGCAAGUCGAACGUGAUUUUUGUGGAAAUUCUUUCGGGAAUGGAAAUGAAAUGAAAGUGGCGAACGGGUGAGUAACACGUGAGCAACCUACCUUACACAGGGGGAUAGCCGUUGGAAACGACGAUUAAUACCGCAUGAGACCACAAAGCCACAUGGCUUAGGGGUAAAAGAUUUAUCGGUGUAAGAUGGGCUCGCGUCUGAUUAGCUAGUUGGAAGGGUAAAGGCCUACCAAGGCGACGAUCAGUAGCCGGUCUGAGAGGAUGAACGGCCACAUUGGAACUGAGACACGGUCCAAACUCCUACGGGAGGCAGCAGUGGGGAAUAUUGCACAAUGGGGGGAACCCUGAUGCAGCGACGCCGCGUGAGCGAAGAAGGUUUUCGAAUCGUAAAGCUCUGUCCUAUGAGAAGAUAAUGACGGUAUCAUAGGAGGAAGCCCCGGCUAAAUACGUGCCAGCAGCCGCGGUAAUACGUAUGGGGCGAGCGUUGUCCGGAAUUAUUGGGCGUAAAGGGUACGUAGGCGGUUUUUUAAGUCAGGUGUGAAAGCGUGAGGCUUAACCUCAUUAAGCACUUGAAACUGGAAGACUUGAGUGAAGGAGAGGAAAGUGGAAUUCCUAGUGUAGCGGUGAAAUGCGUAGAUAUUAGGAGGAAUACCGGUGGCGAAGGCGACUUUCUGGACUUUUACUGACGCUCAGGUACGAAAGCGUGGGGAGCAAACAGG
rnacentral:rRNA from 1 species